GACCCCGCGAACCCCACGCUCAGCUCUCGCCCGCCACACUGAGAGGCAGGUGCUCUGCAUCACCGCGGGAUCUGAAGACGGCUGGGGAGAGAGUCUACGGUUGGGAUCGGCAGAUGGGGGUCCCUGGCCGUCCUCGCCGCCCCGCCCCGGCCUCGCGCCCCGACACCGCGCUGCUCUAAUUCAGUUCUCAUGCGGGUUGUGACUCCAAGGGCCCAGCUCCACUUGGUGUGACCCCUAUGCAUUUCUGUACUAUCGAUUUGUUUGGGGGGUGGGGUGGUGGUGGUACUGGGAUUUGAACUCAGGACCUCAUGCUUGCUCGGCAGGGGCUCUACCACUUCAGAUCUGCCCUUACUCCUUUUUGCUUUAGUUUCCAGACAGGGUCUCACACUUUUUGCCUAGGCUAGCCUCAGACCAAAAUUCUUUUACCUGUGCUUCCCACAUAGCUGAGGUGACAGUCGAGGGCCACAUACCUGGAUUCUGUUGUUAAGAUGAGGGUCUCGCUAUUUUUGAGGGGGCCUGGGUUGCCUCGCACUUCACCCAUCAACCUGACCCCCAAGUAGGUGGGAUUAUAGAUGCGAGCCGUUGUGCUCGUUCAGCUUUUACAACGUAUACGUAGAGUCAAACUACUCCUCUAUAAGUUGAAAAAAUACCUUGUAUGUCCCUCGGUGAUGGAAAGACUGUGUUAAUCCCAGCUCCUCAGGAGGCCGGGGUCUGAUGAUCACAGUUCAAAGCCAGCCUGGUCGGCAAAGUCCACGAGACUCUUAUCCCCAGUUAACUAGCAAAAGGCCAGGAUGGAGCUGAGGCUCAAGUGGUAGAGUGCCAGCCUUGAGUGAAAAAGCUGAAGGGCCCUGGGCCCCCUGUUCAAGGCCCAAUACCGGCACACACACACACACACACAUUUAUGCCCUAGACUUUGCACAAAAAUGAUGUACAUGGAGUGUAGAGCCAUGCACUUUAACUGAAUUCACACGUUUUCUGGUGCUGGAUAUUUUUAAUUAUAAUGUCAAGUGCAUUUAGUCAUUUAUCCAUGAAGUCAUGUCA